rnacentral:rRNA from 1 species
GAUGAACGCUGGCGGCGUGCCUAAUACAUGCAAGUCGAGCGAACAGACGAGGAUCUUGCUCCUCUGACGUUAGCGGCGGACGGGUGAGUAACACUUGGAUAACCUACCUAUAAGACUGGGAUAACUUCGGGAAACCGGAGCUAAUACCGGAUAAUAUAUUGAACCGCAUGGUUCAAUAGUGAAAGACGGUUUUGCUGUCACUUAUAGAUGGAUCCGCGCCGCAUUAGCUAGUUGGUAAGGUAACGGCUUACCAAGGCGGCGAUGCGUAGCCGACCUGAGAGGGGGAUCGGCCACACUGGAACUGAGACACGGUCCAGACUCCUACGGGAGGCAGCAGUAGGGAAUCUUCCGCAAUGGGCGAAAGCCUGACGGAGCAACGCCGCGUGAGUGAUGAAGGUCUUCGGAUCGUAAAACUCUGUUAUUAGGGAAGAACAAAUGUGUACGUAAAUAUGCACGUCUUGACGGUACCUAAUCAGAAAGCAACGGCUAACUACGUG